AUGUCUCUCUGUUUAACCACCCUUUGCUGCUUAGUUCACGACGCAUGUGUAUAUUCUUCCUCGCACUAUCUGGUUACUCCGGCAGCAGAACAUGAACAUCCAUCACCAUGGUUCUCGGCUAGUUCUGUACAGGCGGUAUUCAUACUGUUGUGGUCAAUUGAUUCGGCCAGAUCUUUGGAGAUUGGUUAUCAAAUUAUUUUUACUCUCUGGACAGCGAUUGAUGUUCCAAAUUGGCAUUCUUCAUCUGAACUGAGGUAUAAGGCGAGCCUCCAAAACAAGGGAACAGUACGUUGCCGAGUAACAUGUAUCAAAGAAGUGGAAUGGUUAGCUUCUCUACUUCUUCAAGAAUUUCUGAAAGGAUAUAAUAAACAGGUGCCAUGUUAUAAACUUCUGUUAUUGAUAUCCUUGCAAUCGUUCGCAGUGUGUUAG
rnacentral:rRNA from 1 species